CUUACCAAAUCAAUAUCAAUGAUGUCCGGUGAAUUCCAGUAUCCAAAGCAAGGUUAAGCUUCGUCCCGACGCCAUCUGUUAUUCUGUGCUGACAUUAUAUGGUUAUGGUCGUUGUCGCCCACCUCGGUACAAAUGAACACCAUCAAUUUUAUCCAACCCACCGCCGCCGUUGCCUCCGUACCUCCUCCCCCUCCUCCCUCCUCUUCUUCUCUUCCCCUACGCCCCUUCUCUCACUCCCCUUCUCCUCCUCCUCUUAAACCCUCACUAAACCCUCACCCUUCUCUCUCACUCUCUCUCUCUUCUCCAAGUUCAGUCCCCAAACUCAAAACCCAAAUCCAAUUCCAGUACCUCCCAUCCCCACAACCCCUCUUGAAGUCAAACCCUCCCAAUGACCGCCACCAAACCCACAAAUUCUUCCACCAUUUGAUCCAUUUGCUCCGCCUCUCCGCCCGUCACGGCGACCGAGAGCUCGCCAGGGCCGUACACGCAUCAAUUCUCAAGCUUCAAGAAGAUACCCAUCUUGGCAAUGCCCUCAUUUCAGCUUAUCUCAAACUGGGCCUUGUUUCGGAUGCUCACCUGGUUUUCCUAAGCCUUUCCUGCCCAAAUGUUGUGUCGUUCACCACUUUGGUUUCGGGUUUUUCCAAGGCGGGUCGAGAGGAGGAGGCUGUGGAGCUUUUCUUCCGGAUGAGGAAUUCGGGUAUUAUGCCCAACGAGUACAGCUUUGUUGCAAUUUUAACUGCUUGUAUUCGGGUUCUCGAGCUGGAUUUGGGUUUGCAAGUUCAUGCCUUGGUGGUCAAAUUGGGGUACUUGGAUUAUGUUUUUGUUUCGAAUGCGCUUAUGGGUUUGUAUGGUAAAUGUUGCUGUUUGGAUUAUGUGCUUAAACUGUUUCAUCAAUUGCCCGAGAGAGACUCGGCGUCUUUGAAUACUGUUAUGUCGAGUUUAGCGAAGGAGUUUAUGUAUGAUGAAGCAUUUGAGUUGUUUCGUGAACUGCAGCAAACGGAGGGGUUUGGAGUCGAUCAUUUCACAGUUUCAACCCUUUUGACCGCCUGUUCUGGGAGCAAUGCUUUCAGAGAAGGUAAAGAGGUUCAUGCCCAUGCUAUCAAAAUUGGUUUAGAGGCCAAUUUGAGUGUUAGCAAUGCCCUUAUUAGGUUCUAUGCUGUGUGUGGUAGUGUAAACGGUGUGAAUGCUUUGUUUGCGAGGAUGCCUGUGAAGGACGUUAUUACGUGGACAGAAAUGAUUACAGCCUACAUGAAAUUUGGGUUGGUAGAUUUGGCUAUCAAGAUGUUUGAUAACAUGCCCGAGCAGAAUUCUGUUUCUCAUAAUGCUGUACUGGCUGGUUUUUGUCGAAAUGGUGAAGGCUUGGGGGCUUUGGAUUUAUUUACAAAAAUGUUGAAGGAGGGAAUGGAGAUGACAGACUUCACUUUGACUAGUGUUGUUAACGCUUGUGCCUUGCUUAGGGAUUGUAAAACCAGUGAGCAAAUCCAUGGGUUCAUUAUCAAGUUUGAUUUUGGGUCAAAUGCUUGUAUUGAAGCUGCAUUACUUGAUAUGUAUACAAGGUGUGGUCGGAUGACAGAUGCAAAAAAGUUGUUUCAUCGGUGGCCGGCAGAGCAGGAUAGCUCUGUACUUUUGACAUCAAUGAUUGGUGGAUAUUCUCGAAAUGGGCAACUGGACGAGGCAAUUUCUCUUUUCCACCAUCAUCAAUCUGAAGGAAGAAUGGUUAUGGAUGAAGUCUUAUCCACUUCACUACUUGGUCUUUGUGGAACUUUAGGGAUAUAUGAACUGGGGAAACAAAUCCACUGCCAUGCUUUGAAGUGCGGUUUUCUAACUGAUCUAGGAGUAGGAAAUGCCACAAUUAGCAUGUACACUAAGUGUUGGAACAUGGAAGACGGAGUCAAGUUGUUCAAUACAAUGCCCACUCAUGACAUAGUUUCAUGGAAUGGUUUGCUUGCUGGUUAUCUUCUCCACAGACAGGGCGAUGAGGCCUUGGCUGUCUGGUCAAAUAUGGAGAAGACUGGCAUAAAACCAGAUCAGAUUACUUUUAUUUUGAUUAUUUCAGCAUACAGACACACUACAUCCAAUUUAGUUGACGCUUGUCGUAGCUUGUUUCUCUCCAUGAAAACUGUUUAUGACAUCGAACCCACCUCAGAGCACUUUGCCUCCUUUGUUGGUGUUCUAGGGUACUGGGGUCUACUGGAUGAAGCAGAGGAAACAAUCAGUAAGAUGCCUUUUGAGCCUGAGUUUAUUGUUUGGCGAGCUUUGCUUGACAGUUGUAGAAUCCAAACAAAUACAACCAUUGGAAAAAGGGUUGUGAAACGUAUCCUUGCCAUGGAGCCCAAAGAUCCAUCUGCCUACAUACUUGUAUCAAAUCUCUACUCGGCAUCUGGGAGAUGGCACUGCUCCGAAAUGGUUAGGGAGGAUAUGAGGAAAAAGGGGUUCCGGAAGCACCCAAGUCAAAGUUGGAUCGUUCAUAACAAGAUACAUCCAUUCUAUGCAAGAGAUAAAUCCCAUCCCCAAGCAAAAGACAUAUAUAGUGGAUUGGAAAUACUCAUUUUAGAGUGCAUAAAAGCCGGUUAUGUGCCAGACACAAGCUUUGUUCUUCAUGAAGUAGAAGAGCACCAGAAGAAAGAUUUCUUGUACUAUCACAGUGCAAAGUUAGCAGCGACCUAUGGCCUACUGACCACGAAGCCUGGAAAACCAAUCCGCGUAGUGAAGAAUAUCCUUCUUUGUGGUGACUGCCACGCGUUCUUGAAAUACAUGUCGAUUGUCACAAGAAGAGCAAUCUAUGUCAGGGAUGCUUCCGGAUUUCAUUGUAUAUCUAGUGGUCAGUGCUCAUGCAAAGAUUAUUGGUGACCGGGAUUUGCUAGUGGAAGCUGGAUACUGAUGCAGCGUCUGUCAUUGUUUGCUGCACGUGGUAUAGAGCUUCUGAGGAUUCAUUCUGUUCAUCGUCACUCCGGCAUGGCAUUUACUUUGAUCCUUUUUAGAGUUUUACUGUUCUGUUUCUCAUUCCUAGUUUGAAGAAGAUGAAGAUAGGCUGCAAGAAAUUUGACCCACUUUUGGCUCACUUUUGCUGACAAUUAUUUACUCCAGCAUAUUCUCUAAAGUCAAAAGUCUUCCGACUCAUCAAAAUCAAAGCACGAAGUUGUAGAAAUUGAAGACCUUGGUCAAAAACUUCUUGUUCAAACGGCAUAGUUACAAUCACAGGUAACCCAGUUACAAUUACAAUUAAAAUAUGAAGAUGAAAAAGAAACUUCCUCUGAAUCAUCUGAUGCAUCAUCAUAGCAAUCAGCAAAGCUAAACAGUCAAAGCACCAGGUAGAGUGACUACCAUGAAGCACAAGACCCAUUUGCAUAAAGCCAUGUGAAACAACAAUUCAAGUCAUGUGAACGCAGUCAGUCACCAUUUGAAGAAUUCAGUCAUCAUUUCACCCCAAUCAAGACACCAUGUGAAGCAUUCAGAUAUUAUUCGCACAGUAAAAGUGAGGAAUCAUUCAACAUGUUCUACAGUAAAAACAACAAUUAUUCAGAUAGUUUACCAUUCAUCAACAAUAAAAACAAGUCAUCUACCAUCUCGUGCUUCAACAGUAGAAAACUCAAUCAUUUAAGUCCCCUUUUCCAAAGUCUAUAAGAAGAAGAAUCCGAAAACAAAAGAAAGCAAGUUAAUUUGCACAUCUUUUCCUCAGUUCAAAUUUUCUUUGAGUUCUCAUUGUAUAUAAGGAAAUCAAACAUUGUAAACACUUUUAUUUUUGGAAGAAGAAGGAUGUCUGAAUGCACCAAUUUUCAAUCCAUAUAGUAAAUUGUACCACAGUCAACAUUUGUAAGUCUUUUGAUUAACAAAGGAAGUGAUUUCAAAAUCUAUUUUCAGUAA